GUCAUGUGAGGGCAGAGGAUGCGGCGGGCAGGGCUGCCGGGACAGUGCGCCAGCCCGGCAGCGGAAGGAUGACACAGGGGGCUCCUGCGGGUGGCCUCCACGGAGGAAGGCUCGUAUUGACAGAAGCAGCAGACGGAAUUGCCGGAGCGCCUGCCAGGCAGCUGACUCUGCGUGGGACCAAGGUUCACAGGCUGACGCCAGCGUGCCCUCUGGACCCUCUUGUCUCCUGGCCACAGACUCCCUGGCCGCCCGAGGUGGGAGGUGGACAUUAUUCCCAGGCAGUUCCUUGCCCAGAGCUGCCGGCUCCGAGUGAGAAGUGGGCACUGUGGUCUUGCGCGGACCUGAGGGCUGGCCCCCAAAUCCUAGAAACGGGCUCCUGGGCUGACGCCAUCCCUGUCUCCCUGCUCCCCACUCUGGAGGGCCGGCCCUGCUCCUGCAGGCCUCCGACUUCCUCUGCUGCUCCCAGCUUACCCGCUGGGCUCAGUCCCUCCAUGCCCGCCUCCCCAGUCAGCGGCCACCUCCUUGGAGAAGUUUUCCUGGGUCCCUCCCCUCUUUUCCAUUCCUGGGUCCCUUCCAGCCCCCGGCACAUAUUCAGGCACCCAGAGAGUGCUCUGGGAGGGUGGCAACCACAAAGAGCUAAGAAUUUGCUAGACGUACAAAGGGGCAAGAAGGAGCUAGGGCCGUUGCACAGAUGGGAAGACAGGGUCCUGCCCAAGGCCACGCAGCGGUGAGCCUGUGUCUCCAGCUUCCCCUGAGAGCAAGAAUCUGCGGGCUCCAGCCUCCUGUGUGGCUCCCGCAGUCCUCGGGGCUGAGCUCGAGGCCCCCACGGCCCCCACACGGAGUCUAGGGCGGGUGCAGUGCUCCGCUCAGAGGCCGGCUGCAGACGGUGAGCGCACCUCACACACAGAAGGCCUGGGUCUCUGCUCCCAGAAGUAGCUCCUGGCCAGGCCUGACUCUUCCUGGCUGCUCCAGAAAGCUCUUUGAGGGCCAGGAAACCAAGUGGCAGCCGGGCAUUCUCGGGUGGAGGAGCGGGUGGCCGGCUGGCCUGCUCCGGGGGUGGAGGGGAGUGCAGGGUGGCCUAUGGGCCCCUCUCUGGGUGGGGGAAGGGAGGGUCCCCAGUCUCAGCUCUGUCCCUACACAACGAGCAGGUCUUAGGCAGGCAGUUUGUCGCCUCAGCUCUCGGCCCAAACUCCAGGCCCUCGCAGGCGCAGCUCUCAGGCCGGUCCCGCCUCCCCCCACGGCCAGGUGCCCUGGGGCAGGUCUGCAGGCCAGGAGCAUCCUCCAGUCCCAUCCCGGCCGGCCACUGCUGUCACUCUAUCCCAGUGACCCAGUUUCCCUCCUGUCCAUGCCAGGGGGGGGGCGGGGGGCCCUGGGGAGACAGUGUCCCCCUUUGAGGAGAGGGUGGCGGUGGAUCAGAUGUCCCGGGCGCGGCGUCUGCGGGCUGGGGACAGGGGCCAUGGCUUGCAGGUCUUCAAUAGCCCGAGAUUAAGUUCCGUCCCUGGGGGCCCCGUUGUGUGGCCAUUGUGACGGCGUGGGAACCGAGGCGUUCCGGGCCAGACAGGGACGCACCUCGGGCCUGGGGGCCGACGGGGCAUCCCGCGGGAAGGAGCACGCGCAGCUAGCUGUCCACCUGGGGUCUCGGGGAAGGCUGGACUCCGGCCAGGCAGCCUGCGACGUGUCCAUGCUGGGUCCCCAGAACCCUGCCGGACCCCCGUGCGCUGCCUGAGGGAAGGUGCUCCUUUUUUGCAGUCCGGUGAGCAGAGCGUGGGCCGAAUUUCAGGCGUCUAUCCUUGGUCAGGGCACCAUCUGCACACGUGCGCAGCAGACCUCACUCCGCCCCCGGCCCCUCCCCACCCCUCUUGAGGCUCUCCUCAGCCUCUUCUGCUCCCUUUGGCAAAGUCCUCCCCCGGCGCCCCCCCAGCUCGGAUUGCAAGGCUGUCCUCCGCUGACAAAGCCACAGGCCGGUCCCUGCUGAUGUGAUCGGAAGUGGGGGGCCACCAAGUCCAGGUGCUGGCUGUAAGCUCUCACGUUCCCUCCCUGGAGACCCCAGUGCAGGAGUGAGGAGGACCGUGGGAGGCUGGGAGGCCCCCACCCCGGGGCCUGAGCGCGCCCCCUCUCCAUCACCCUCACCUUCCCCGGCUGCGGCCCCGAGCACCCGCUUGGCGGGGCCGUCGUGCCCGGCUCUGCGCUCUCUCUCGGUGCCCCAGACAUAAGUCCUCGCGCAGGCGGACGUGUGCACAUCUCCACACGUGCAGGUGAGCCCGCGUGCGGGGGUGAGGUGCUGCACGUGCGAGCAGAGGACGCGUGUGACCGCGUGCACACACGCCCAGAGCAGGCGCCCGCGGCCCGAGCAGGCUCCUUCCGUCCGGCACAGCUGCAGACUCGGGGCGGGGGCAGCGGGGCUGGCCUCAGCCUCGUUCCCCAGGGAGGCAGCCGGGCCAAGGUGGGAGGCCGAGGCCAGGCCGGAGCGCCGGGCGGGGGCCAGGGGGCCAGGGUGCGGCCCCGCCACGAGCUUCCUGUCCGGCUGGCCGGCGGCGGCAACUUUGGACGGAAGGUUGGCCCCACCAGGAAGGCGCUGCCGGAGAAGCGGGGUCUGUGGAGGCUGAGUCAGCUUCCCCCAGCGUCCCUCCCGACCCUCCCCCGGCUCUUCCCCCAGGGCCUUCCCUGAUCUCUGCCUCUGCCCUAGCUGGGCCUGAGCGAGGCACCCAGGGGUGCUGAGACGAGGCUCCCUUGGUGGUGUGAUCCGGCACCCCCGGGCUGAACCGCCGAUUCUCCGAGAGACGUACUCCCCGCGUUCUCCCCACUGCCGUACGGAGUGGCCGGGGCCCCCGAGAGGGCCAGGUGUGGUUCGGGGCACACAGCUGGCCCUGGAGACGUGUGGCUGGACGCUGGGGAAGCCCCCUCCUCAUUCAGGGCCCUUGUGACCGCGGCAGCCACAAACCCUUCCUGAACCACUGACUCCGGAACAUCCUUCUGUCUGGGCAGCGACUCUGGGCGUGGAGGGGAUUUGAGGCCGGUGCAUCCUCCAGGUUGGGCCAGGCCUGGCGACCCCUUCAGAUACAAAGAGAGAGGUUAGUGGCCCGGGAGCAGCCCAUACUGAGGUUGUAAGAGGCGGGUACUGGGUAGACAGCUGGAGGGCUCACGCUGGGGAGUCCCCAGGUCACCCUGGCUUCAGAGUCGCUCUGGGCGGCCACCAAACCCUGCCGUUCACGUAGUUGGCAGCGUAUGGACACUCCCGGCCCUACGUUAGAGACAGAACGGGAGCGAGGCAGGCCCAGGCUUACCCUCUGAGCUCCUGGUAUUCUGGGGACCAGCAGAGAGGGAAAGCAAACACACGUAGCUCCCAUCAGGAUCAGCAGGGUAAAAUAAAGGAAGGGGGUGGAAAUUGAGCUGACAACAGAACAUGCCUGGGCCCGACAGUCAAGGAGGGGAUGGAGGAGGCAACAUGUGGGCUGACAGCCAAAGGAAACAGCAGGUGCAAAGGCACAGGGGUCGACGGAGGCUCCCUGCCCACUAGCUCGUCCCUCGUGGGACAUUCGUCUGUGGCUAGUCCCAUGGGCCAGAGCUGCAUGGGGUUGGAUCAGAUCUCAGAGGGAAGUCACAUUAGGCAGGGCCUACAUGGGGUGGAUGGCUGUGGGCUAGGCCGGCCACUGUGGGCUAUCCUUCCUGGAGGAGCUGGAACUUGCAGACAGAGGAGAAGGAAGAAGGUUCCCUAUCAAGGGGACCAGUCUGCAGGAAAGUGGCGUGGGAGGGAUCGGGGGCUGGGAAGGUGGCCACGGGAGGCGUCUGUGACUGGGCUGCAGGAGGUGCUCCCAGCCAGCCCUGUGGGGCCAGGAAGCUGGUCUCCGCCUGGACCAACGGGCUGUGGACCCGAGUCGGGCAGGGGUCUGUGGGACUCACAUCCGUGCAGGUUGCUGGGAGGGACUUGCACACGCGGUCCCCCGACCGGGCCCCUGUCCCAGGCCCCCUGCUCCUCUGCCACCCACCCACCCAGGUUUGGGAGACGAGCCUUUUCAGACCCCCCCUCCCUGCACUCACAUUGGUGUCCUGAGGUGCUGUCACAAAUUACCGCAAACUUGCCUGAAAACAGACGCUUACCGUCUUCCACUUCUGGGGGCCUGAAGUCCGAAUGCAGGUGCGGGCAGGGUGUCCCUGCCGGAGCCCCCGAGCCUGCCCCAGGCCCCUCUCCCAGCUUCUGGCGGUUGCCGGCUGCCACAGGCCGUCCCCAGCUCGCGGCUGCACCGCGCUGACCUCCACCUUCACCUUCCCGAGGCUGCCUUCCCUCGGUGCCUCUGUGUCCUCCUCUCUCCUUAGAAGGGGACCCGCCAUUGGAUUUAGGGCCCACCCUAAACCCGGGAUGACCCCACGUCAGGAUCCUUCAAUUAAUUACACCUGCAAAGACCCUUUCUCCAAAUAAGGCCCCUUGGCACCUUCUGGGGGGUAGGACUUGAACCUGUCUUUUUUGGGGGGGCACCAUUCACCCCAGUGAUGCCAGGGAUCCAGGAGGCUGCAACCUUCCCUCACUGCCAGGCCAGCACCUCUGCCUCGAUGGGAGCAGCCUCGGGCCGUGGGGGCACGGCUGACACGUGUGAGUGAACAGGGGCACAGAGCCUGUUGAUGGUGGGGGCGGGGGGGCCGCUUUGAGAGUGGGCACCACGGGGCCUGCCCACCAGAGUGCAGCCUGCGGUCCCCACCUCCACACGGGACGCACAGACAGCCAGGCGGCCUGUCUCCAUGACCCUGGCCAUGUGCCCGGCACAAGGAUGGGGGUCGAGGAACCCCUCGACACCCGGGGCUCUGCUGGGCCUUCUCACGAGUAGCGCAUUUCUGUCUCAGCUCUCAGGUCUGGGCAUGAGCAUCGGGCAGGUGGCCACCAGGCUCUGGGCCAGCAAGGCCCAGUACUUGCCCCCCUGCGAUUGCCCCAAGGACCGGAAGGCGCUUUCCACCUGGCAAUCACCUGUGCCAAGACACAGGCUCAACUCACCUUCCAACGCAUCCUUUUGUUUUUUUAAACGUUUAUUUAUUAUUAAGAGACAGACACAGAGUGCGAGCAGGGAAGGGGCAGAUAGAGGGGGAGACACAGAAUCCCAAGCGGGCUCCAGGCUCCGAGCUGUCAGCACAGAGCCCGACGCGGGGUCGAGCCCAUGAACCGCGAGAUCAUGACCUGAGCAGAAGUCGGACGCUCGAUCGACUGAGCCGCCCAGGCGCCCCCCAACGCAUCUUUUAUGCUAUAUGGAAGCCUGGCUGUGACCUCAGCCAGCGGGGGGCUGGCAGACCCAGAGCACCGGCCCCACAGCAGCGGAGCUGGGAGCACGGCUGCCUCCUGUGAGCCCUGCCCCGGGUCUCAGCUGCCUGUGUGUGAAGUGGAGUGACGGUCCCGCACAUCCGCCCUACUCCCACGGGCCCCCGGGGGGAGGGGCAGCAUCCCUGGUCACAGAUUCAGAAACUGAGGCCAGAAGGCGCCUGGCCUGGUCUCCCCUGCCCAGCAAAAGCGGGCUGGGGCAGACCCAGGCCCCAGCUGGCCAACCACCUGCUGACCUGCUUCCUCCCGGGCCCUCAGGGGGGUAGGCGGUGGGAACGGGCCACGUCUCUGCCUCCCAGCCCCCCGGGCGGCCGCCCCCUGGGAGGCCUGGUCAUCGGGCUCAGGUGUCCCGCACAGCCGGUUCCUCUGCCUCCUCCCGUCCUCGCCGCUGUGGAGCCGGAGGGAGGGUCACUCCCCAGGGGCCACAGGCGAGGACGGUGGGCAGGUGGGGUUGGCUGUCUGGCUGUGGCCGGCCCGGCCGACUCGGACGCCAUCGCGUGCAUCUCUCAGGGGGCUGGGCCGCCUGAGUGUGUCCACAGUGACCUCCCCUCAGCCCCUUCCCAGGACCCCCGGGCCCGCCCCCCAGGCCAGCUCCGCAGCUCCCAUCCUGCUCUGGUUAAGGGGUGCGGGGCUCGCCUGGAGUCCGCUGGCUCAGGCGAGCGGGUAGACUGCAGCUGGCCAGAUGGGUGCUGGAAACACUCCCCCAGUGAAGGGCCUGCCCCCCUCAGCUGCCGGGUUUCUCGCGGGGGGUCGGGAUCGAGACCCCACUUUGCAGGAACGAAAAGCGAGGCUGGACGCAGUGGCGGCCCCACCGCGCACGCUCGGACGCUCUGCCUGCCGCAUCCCACGGCCAGCUGUGUCAGACCUGUCCUCGGUUUGCCUCAGCCCAGGUAGUUGGGGAAACUGAGGCUGGGAGAGGCUACGUGCUCUGCUCAAGGUGACGCAGCUUCUUUAUCUGUCUAUUGGAGCCAGCCACAAGGGGUUUACCUCUCGGCUCUGCUGAUUAUUAGCUGGCUGACCUCACGUGAGUCACAUGACCUGUCUGUGCCUCAGUUUGUUCAACUGUGAAAUGGAAUAAUUAGAAGGGCCGCUCUGGGGUUCCCGGGUGGCUCAGUCGGUUCAGCAGCCGAUUCUUGAUUUCGGCUCCGGUCACGAUCUCACGGCGUGUGGGUUUCAGUCCACAGUGGACUCCCUCCAUGACAGUGCGGCACCUGCUUGGGAUCCUCGGUCUCCCUCUCCCGCUCAUGGCCACGCUGUCUCUCAAAAAUAAAUACACUUCGAAACAGAAGAAGAAGAAGAAGAAGGGCCACUCAGCAGGUGUCGUGAGCACCACAGGAGCUACCGCACACGGCCUGGAGCAGAGCGGGACUGCGGGAACAGGUGGCUGCUGUGGCCACGGUCACCGCCACCGCCGCCCCUUCCUGCGGCACUAUGCAUCUCGGAGCCCCAACCUUGUCUGGUUCAGCACCGGACCGCUGGGCCCAGGCAGGGACUUAGGUUCAGGAAAUGUUUUCAGACCAUGAGCCGAAGCUUGAGCCCAGA